rnacentral:rRNA from 1 species
UACGUAGGGCGCAAGCGUUGUCCGGAAUUAUUGGGCGUAAAGAGCUCGUAGGCGGCUUGUCGCGUCGGUUGUGAAAGCCCGGGGCUUAACCCCGGGUCUGCAGUCGAUACGGGCAGGCUAGAGUUCGGUAGGGGAGAUCGGAAUUCCUGGUGUAGCGGUGAAAUGACGCAGAUAUCAGGAGGAACACCGGUGGCGAAGGCGGAUCUCUGGGCCGAUACUGACGCUGAGGAGCGAAAGCGUGGGGAGCGAACAGG